AAUUUCUAAAGUAGUGGUUGAUGU
rnacentral:siRNA from 1 species